rnacentral:lncRNA from 1 species
GUUACCACAGCCUUAAGGGAGAGCAAGGCUGACCACAGCUCCUUCUCGAACCUUCCAAUCCCCCUUUUGAGAAGUCACAAGAUCUCCACUCAGGUCUUUGGCUCUCUGGGGCUUGUCAGGCAUCACACACACACACACACACACACACACACACACACACACCCGUGCACACCCAUCUGAAAACACAAGCAAGCUGGGCCACUGGGGGAGACCAUUCCCUGAGACCCAGCCGGGGUCCAGGUUGAGGGGCUGACCUCCUGGCCCCCAUGUUGGGAGGGCCGAGGAGGGCCCCCGCCCGGACCCACUGCGCCCUUGGCUCUGAGUGCUCAGAUCCCACCCCCAUCUCUAGAGAGGAGGAAAUCAUUUAUCUUCCUGGGAGCUCGGGGUCGGGGAGAGGGGGCUGCCCUCCUUGAGUCCCCGACUGUUUUCUUUGAGACUUCCCAGGGUGCAUUGUAGUCAGACCCAAAACAUCGCUUUGUCCCUGUUGAAGGGACUUCACUUCCUUCGUAGAGUUGGGAUUUUCUGUCUCCAUUCGGUGGUAUACCAAGUGCCUGCCUCCCACACCCAGCUGCCCCUAAUCCCUGCCUGAAAACGUGCUCCUGGGUCACGGAAUUCAUGCUGAGACACAGCCACACACAGCCAGGCUCAGGGGUCCACCCUCCAGGGAACACCACCCCGCUACAGGGCCACGAUCACACACACACCCCGCGGAGCAUCUCCGGGCCGGACAGGACCCACGCCCUCCACAGCCCGGAAAGGCGGGUUAACUGGUCAGCAUGCAGAGACCCACCAAGUGGAGACCCCGCUCCCAGGCACAGACGCACAGCUGUGGAUGCACGUCCUCGGUGACAAGGGCCUGUGGCCCAGACCCCCUCCAGCACUCAGGGGCUGCCCUAGGGACACCACCCCAGGAACUGCCCUAGGAAGCCCGUUCCGCUGCAGGGAGCAGAGAAACCUGGGCUGCCCAGAGCUCCCAGGUGGAAACUCCAGAGCAAGCGUGUCAUUCAUACACCCCGGGCCCAGAGAUGUGGACGUGUCCAGCACGCCUGUUCUCUCCAAGUGACCAGGAGGAGACAAUCCCUAGGAGCUGACACAGGUGACGAAGGCCCGAGGUGGCCCGCCUUUUCCCCCGGCCCCAUUCCCAUGUGUCCUUCCCCAGGCAGGGAUUUGAAGUGGGCAGAGUCUUCCAUGUUCUCCAGGAGAGGUUUUCUGGGUGCCCCUCUCCCCCUCCCUACGGUUCCCCUGCCCCGCCACCCUGGGCACCCCUGGGGCUGCCUGCCGCACCCUGCAGCCGCCACCUGGGGAAGCCGGCUUUUAUCUCCUGAGCCCUGCUUUGUAAACCUCCUGCAGAGUUGGAUGUUUAUAAUAAAGGCCGUUUAUAGACCUAACUCUUGACAUGUAAUGGAUGGGUUACUUCAUCCUGCCGGCCAAAACCCACUUGGGUAAGUCAAAUUGGCCUGUAGGGUCAGGAAGAUGAAUGCGGCCUCACCCUGGGCUGGCCCCAGCGACCUCUGACCUCCUCCAUGAGAUGGCAGCCAGUCCCAGGGGCACCAUCCCAGAGACUUCAAGAGACUCCCUCACCGGAUGUCUACAUGCAUCCUGGGGGGUGACCACCCGCCCAGGUUUUAGCACACAAGUGUGUCCCUGGAAACCCCUCGGUCUCUGACAGUCCCCAGGGCCC